AGGUAAAACACAUUCUUCUUUAUAGUUUUAAAGAGUCUUUCUAUCUUUGAGUGUAAGACUCUUUUAAACUAUAAAGAAGAAUGUGUUUUACCU